rnacentral:rRNA from 1 species
UGGCGGCGUGCCUAAUACAUGCAAGUCGAACGGCUUUUCUAUGGAAGCUUGCUUCCACUGAGAAGAUAGUGGCGAACGGGUGAGUAACACGUGGGUAACCUGCCCAUAAGAGGGGGAUAACAUCCGGAAACGGGUGCUAAUACCGCAUAGUUUUCUUGAUCGCAUGAUUGAGAAAGGAAAGACGGCCUUUGUGCUGUCGCUUAUGGAUGGACCCGCGGCGUAUUAGUUAGUUGGUGAGGUAACGGCUCACCAAGACGAUGAUACGUAGCCGACCUGAGAGGGUGAUCGGCCACAUUGGGACUGAGACACGGCCCAAACUCCUACGGGAGGCAGCAGUAGGGAAUCUUCCGCAAUGGACGAAAGUCUGACGGAGCAACGCCGCGUGAGUGAAGAAAGGUUUUCGGAUCGUAAAACUCUGUUGUCAGAGAAGAACAAGUUGGAGAGUAACUGCUCCAGCCUUGACGGUAUCUGACCAGAAAGCCACGGCUAACUACGUGCCAGCAGCCGC